rnacentral:rRNA from 1 species
GCGUGCAAUCAUACCAGCAUUAUUGAACCGGAUCCCAUCAGAACUCCAUAGUUAAGCGCGCUUGGGCUAGAGUAGUACUAGGAUGGGUGACCUCCCGUGAAGUCCUAGUGUUGAACCCU